ACUCGCCUGCAUGAAGUUGGAAUUGCUAGUAAUCGCGAAUCAGAAUGUCGCGGUGAAUACGUUCCCGGGCCUUGUACACACCGCCCGUCACACCAUGAGAGUCGAUAACACCCGAAGCCUGUGAGCUAACCGUAAGGAGGCAGCAGUCGAAGGUGGGGUUGAUGAUUGGGGUGAAGUCGUAACAAGGUAAC
rnacentral:rRNA from 1 species